AUCGGUGCGGAUCCCUAUGGGGAAGGCGCGUUUUGUUGACAUCUGCCAGGCUUUGGUUGUGAACUCUGAGGCGGCGGCUGUGGAGCUAGUGAUAGCCAUGCUUUCGUAGGGUAAACGUGUUGGUGUUGGGGGCAGGGGAGGGGAUCCACGGAAGAGGAGUGCAAGUGUUUUAUUCAAGCUCAUUUCACUUUUGUUGCUCAUAGAAUGUCAACUUGUGAACUAUUAACAGGCUGUAACGCUUUGCUUUCAGUCUAAGAAUAUGUACUCUUGAUAGAAACCGUAAAUGAAAAAUACAGCUUGUUACCUUGUUUUAAGAUUUUAUUUCCAGAUAAAUUUUUUUUUCAGCCACCUACAUUUUUCAAAAUGUCAGAACAGAAAGGGCACAACUAGAGUUUACUGCUAAUGACCAGUAUGUGGAAUCUGAUUUAGCUUUCCAGAAUUGACUUUUUUGGGUUGUAUUGGCAAAUCAUAGUCCUAAAUGAUGACUGUUGAAUGAUAUUUAAGUGGAAUUUCCUGAAAAUAACCCCCAAAUUAAGGGAAAGUCAAUGUUGUCAUGUGGAUUCAUUCAAAGUACACAUUUUAAGAACUGAAGGCAUUUCCAGCAGAUGAAGUCCUUGAUAACAGCAGCAUUAGUAUGAACCUUGGAUUUGGAAGAUCUGACUUUUAGCUGCUCUAGAUUCCAUGACUGUGGGAAAAUGGGCCUCAGUUCUUUUUUCUAUAACAUGAGGACACUGGACUGUUUGAAUUCAGAAAGUUAAAAGGACUCCUGACGCCCUGCAAGACAGAGUUUGGGAAUGUCCUCCACUGCUGUUAUUUUUCCUCCAAAAAUAACCUCGCUGGAAAGUCAUUGGGUGAAAGGGAAUUUGACGCCCAUAGGAACUGGAGGAAAGGUAAUACAAGUGGAGAGGGACCGCUGUAUUUCUGCCGGAGUGGUAAACCCCCCGGAAGAUUCUGGUACGGAGUUUGGAGACCAAGAGAAUGAGUGUAUGUACUUUGAGUGUACCAGUUUCCUCGCUUCCUCCUGGCCGAAGAUGCAGGACUUUCAGUGAUGCUGGGAUUCUGGGAUGUGUUUCCAUUAAUUCAAAUGCAGAAGACGACGAUGUGGUAGAGGGAAAGAUGGUGGCAGAAGGAGUGAACAAAGAGACAAAAUUACCUGCUAAAAAGAAAAGAAAGAAGGGUUUGCGAAUUAAGGGGAAAAGGCGCCGAAAGAAACUGAUCCUUGCCAAGAAGUUUAGUAAGGAUUUGGGGUCUGGAAGACCUGUUGCAGAUGCCCCUGCUUUGUUAGCGUCCAGUGCCCCUGAGCAAGAUGAAGAAAGUCUUUUUGAGAGCAAUAUAGACAAGCAAAUCUAUCUCCCCAGUACCAGAGCCAAGACCUCCAUUGUAUGGCACUUCUUUCAUGUUGACCCCCAGUAUACCUGGAGAGCUAUUUGUAACCUGUGUGAAAAGAGUGUCAGCCGGGGCAAGCCAGGCAGCCAUCUGGGUACAUCUACUCUUCAACGACAUCUCCAGGCAAGGCAUUCUCCUCACUGGACCAGGGCCAACAAGUUUGGAGUCACUAAUGGGGAGGAGGACUUUACCUUGGAUUUGUCUUUAUCUCCUUCUUCUCCUGAGAGCAAUGGAAGCUUUGAGUAUAUUCCUACAGAUUCAUUAGAUGAAAACAGAAUGGGUAAGAAACGUGAUAAAUCAGCGUCUGAUGCCCUGAGGGCAAAAAGAGGGCGAUUUCUCAUCAAAAGCAACAUUGUCAAGCAUGCCUUAAUUCCUGGAACCAGAGCCAAGACAUCUGCAGUUUGGAAUUUUUUUUAUACUGAUCCUCAGCACGUCUCAAGAGCUGUGUGUAACAUAUGUAAAAGAAGCGUGAGCCGGGGUAGGCCAGGUUCCCACCUGGGAACGUCCACACUUCAACGGCACCUUCAGGCCACACAUCCCAUCCACUGGGCUGUUGCCAACAAAGACAAUGGUGCUAUUGGAAAUGGAUUGGAUGAGACUGAGACCGAGAGCAGUGAUCUCUUGAAUGAUACUUUGCAUGGAGAGAAGUCAUCAGGCAGCCAGGAUUUAACAGCUGAGGACCUUAGUGACUCGGAUGCUGAUGAACCUCCUGUUUUAGAGGUUGAACCUAGAUCUGAGAGUCCUGUUCCUGUUGCAGAGCAAGCCAACCCGGUGCAUGCACAAGAGAGAGAAACACCACCACAUUGUGAGAAUUCAGCCUCCAGUCGGAUAAGUCAGGCGCUUAUUCAGAUGAUUGUGGAAGAUAUGCACCCUUACAACUAUUUCUCAACCCCAGCUUUUCAGCGGUUUCUACAAAUUGUUGCUCCUGACUAUAAAUUGCCAUCAGAGACUUAUUUUUUCACCAAAGCUGUACCUCAGUUAUAUGAUUCUGUUAGAGAAAAGAUUUUCCUAACUUUAGAGAAUGUUCAAAGCCAAAAGAUCCACCUGACUGUUGACAUAUGGACCCAUGACCCUUCCACAGACUAUUUCAUUGUGACUGUACACUGGGUCUCUUUGGAAACUGCAUCUCCCCCCAGUAGUGGUGGGAGCCCCAAUUUUAGAAAGUGGGCAGUACUUUGUGUUACAGGCCUAGCCAAAGACUGUUUGAUAACUAACAUUUUACAAGAAUUAAAUGACCAGAUUGGUCUGUGGCUUUCUCCUAAUUUUCUUAUCCCUAGCUUCAUUGUUUCUGACAACUCCUCGAAUGUGGUACAUGCCAUCAAAGGAGGUGGUUUUACCCAUGUGCCAUGCUUCCUGCACUGUUUAAAUAUAGUGAUUCAGGACUUCUUCUGUGAGCACAAAAGCAUUGAAAAUAUGUUAGUGGCUGCUAGAAAAACCUGCCAUCAUUUUAGCCAUUCAGUCAAAGCCCGCCAGAUACUACAAGAGUUCCAGAACGAUCACCAGCUUCCGUGGAAGAAUCUGAAGCAGGAUGAAAGUGGCCACUGGAUCUCUACCUUUUACAUGUUAAAAUGGCUUCUAGAGCAUUGCUACUCUGUUCACCACAGUCUGGGUCGAGCCAGUGGAGUUGUGCUCACUUCACUCCAGUGGACUCUAAUGACAUAUGUGUGUGAUAUUCUUAAGCCAUUUGAGGAAGCCACCCAGAAAGUGAGUGUAAAGACCACGGGAUUGAAUCAGGUGCUGCCCCUAAUCCAUCAUCUCCUCUUUUCCCUGCAGAGACUCAGAGAAGAUUUUCAAGUCAGAGGUAUUACUCAGGCCCUUAAUCUGGUAGACAGUUUAUCUUUGAAACUUGAAACUGAUGCCCUACUAAGUGCCAUGCUCAAAUCCAAGCAUUGUAUCUUGGCUACUUUGUUAGAUCCUUGUUUUAAGAACAGUUUGGAAGACUUUUUUCCUCAAGGUGCUGAUUUAGAGACUUAUAAACAGAUCCUUGCAGAAGAGGUUUGUAAUUAUAUGGAAUCGUCGCCCGGGGCCUGCCAAAUCGCAACCUCGGAAGCAUCUGGCCCUUUAGUUAGAUUAGGAACUGAUUCAUUUACUUCUAUAAAAGAAGGCACCUCCCAUUCAGGUUCUGUGGAUAGCUCAGCCGCAGCCAGUGUUGCUGUUGGAAGCAAAAGCUUCCUGUUCCCCUCUGCUGUAGCAGUAGUGGAUGAGUACUUCAGAGAGAAGUACUCAGAGCUCUCAGGAGGUGACGACCCUUUGGUUUACUGGCAGAGGAAGGUGAGCGUAUGGCCAGCUUUGACCCAAGUUGCCAUUCAGUACCUGAGUUGCCCCAUGUGUAGUUGGCAAUCGGAGUGCAUGUUUACCACAAAUAGCCACUUUCAUCCAAAGCAGAUCAUGAACAUGGACUUUGAUAAUGUAGAACAGCUGAUAUUUCUGAAAAUGAACUUGGAGAAUGUUAACUAUGACUAUUCUACAUUGAUUCUGAGCUGGGACCCUGAAAAUAAGGCUGUUCAGAACAAUGAAAAAGAAAUAUUACCUUAACUUCUUUUUCCUUUUUCUACUUAAAAUGGGCAGCUUUUGCUAUAUUACUAUAUCUUCUUGCUGUUGUUAUUAUAUGUAGUCAUACUAUUUAUUCUUUAAAAAAAAAUAGCUGGGUGUGGUCACGGGUGCCUGUAGUCCUGGCUAUUUGAGAUGGUGAGGCUGGAUUAUAACUUUAGCACAUGAAUUUGAGACCAGCCGGGGCAACAAUUAAGAUCCUGUCUUACAAAAAUGCAAAACCCGGGGAAAUCCAAAGGUAUAAGAAAGCUGAAAACUCCGCAGAGGCCAUAUGAUGAUGAUGAAGAAGAAAUGAAGGUUAACUUUGAAGAUUUCACAGUAGUCACUCAGUGUAGCUAACAUCGAUCAAAGCGUCAUAUCAGUUGAGAGAGAAAAAGAGUGAAUGAGAAAAGGCAGUGCAGCUUUGAAGGGCUUAGGUAUUUCUGGUUGGUUGAUUGAACUAGUCAUUGAUUUGAGUAAAAAUUUCUUCCAACAUGGAAGGUUUGAUUACUCUGAAAUCAGUGAUUUGUGUAAGUAUUGUGAUUCAGGACUUCUGUAAGCACAAAGGUGUUUAGAAUGUGUUAGUGGUUGCACUAACAUAUUCUUUCCCUUCCCUAUUUUUUAAUUUCUUUAAAACCCCUGACACAACUUGACAGAAUGAAAACCCACAAAAUUGUUUCAUAUUUGGAAAUUCAUAAUUACCUCAUACUAGUCUGUUUGUAAUGUCAGAUGACUGGGUAUGAUAAAAUUGCCCUUUAUAGUUAGGAUUAAGUCUGUAUAAAAGAACAUUAAAAAACAACUAGAAAAAAAAGACUGCUAGUCUUUUAUAAUACAGUACAAAAACAAGAUUAUAUAGGUAACCUAUUAGUAAACAUUAAACAUUUGUAAAACCAAAAACAUUGAGUGGGGUUUAGAAUACAAGCCUCAUGAAUAUGGAAAACCCAGUAUGAGUUUCCCAGAGAAUAUUUCUGUAGUUUGUUCAUUUUUUUUUUAAAGGAUACUUUAUGGUCCAUAGCAUGGUAUUCCUAACUAUGACUUUUGGGCCCCUGUAUUAACUGAAAUAAGCAGUUAUAUUUUACUGUUUGGCAUUGUUGUUGAAAUGAGUAAACUGAUCUCAGUGGCCCUUUCAGGUUCCUUUCCACUCUGAGAGUCUGUUUCUAUGACUGAGUGGGAGGCCAGAAAAUAAUGACUUUUAUUAAGUCUAUUAGACGUUUCAGACUGAAUAACUAAUGUAAGAUCCCAAUUUUUCCUUUUUUUCAUUUUAGAUUUGGGGAUAUUCCCUGCCCAAAAAAUUCCUGGAAAAUUGACUAGUAUUAAGUGUGAAGAAAUCUUGAAGACCAGAAAUUGGAUCUUAUUGAAUUUUGGUGGUGUUUUUUUGUUUUUGCUUUUUGUUUUUUCGUUUUUCAAUUUUUUUCAUCUUUUUACUUUUUAAUUAUAUUGCUCAGCUAUGGAAGAUGGAUUCUUUUUUUUUUUCAUUUUUUUUUUAAUUCUUUGAAUCUCGAGUUCAUCUUUAAGUGAACUUUUUUGUUUGUUUUUGAGGAGAUAACUAAUGUUAGCUGUCUCCAGUCUGACAGAGGUUAUGCAAAUGGACUUAAUCUUCCAAGAGUUGGGAGAUGUUUUAAAGACGUUUUAAAAACACGUCCUGUGUUUCAAUUGUGGCUGAGAGGUUUCC